UAAGUAUCGACACAAACCAAUUGAUAACUGACAUUAACCUAACCUAAAAACGAAAACAACUCAUAAUAUUCGAAUAUUGAUGAAAUGUUAUAUUUUUGUUUAUUUAGAAAAAUAUUUUAAGUUUCGAAGCUAAAGGAUAAUAGUUCAACAGCAUUCUAUGACAUCUAAACUAUCACAUACCAAUUCGAGCAAACCCUUGGCAACAUGGGCAGUUUCGGCAUGCCGCCUUCGCGCUCGGCCUACUCGAGCAGCAAUUCUUCGGGGGGCGGCAACAGUUGCCACUCGGUGUUUGGGGGCGGUGGCGACAGCGGCAGUAUGCCUCCUGUUCUCGAUCUCAGCGAGUUCCCUACGUUAACGAAUUGUGGUGGAGGUGGUGGUCUUGGAGGCGGUGGAUGUGGUGGCCUUGGAGGCGGUGGAGGUGGUGGCCUUAGAAGCGGUCUCGGAGGCGGCGGACAGGGUGAUGCCAUGCCAAACACUAUACCUGAACAUGCUAGAGUUAGUGUAAUCAUUCCCUUUGAAAAUGAGAUGAACACAUUUGUUGUAAGUGUGAAAAAUACAGUGAUGAAAUUGACUUGGGAUGGCGAGAGUGAAAGUUCUGACCAGCUGGAUUUUAUUAGAAAUGUGACUGACAAUGCAACACUUUACACCCACAAUGGAAGAGCCGAUCCAAUGGGCCGUUUAUGGAUAGGUACACUCGGUCCUUACAGGAGAGAUUCCAACAAUGAACCAAUACCUGAUUACAACGCUGGUGCAGUCAGCAUGAUAGAUCUUUAGGGAGAGGUAACCGUGAAAAUUUCCAGCGUGUCACUACCUGACGGUCUUGCCUGGAGUUCAGACAAAACAAAACUUUUCUUCGCUAACGCAUGGGAGCACGAAGUGGUCGCCUAUGAUUACGAUGACACCACGGGUGACGUUUCAAACAGGAGAGUUAUUUUCAACACAAAAGAGAAUAAAAUGGUUUACCUUCUGGGUUGGCAAUGGAUUCUGAAGAGAAAUUAUGGGUGACCCUGUUCUUCAACGGAACGAUUAUCAGAAUUGAUCCGGAGAGCGGCACACUUCUCAAGAGAAUAAGGUUGCCAGCACUUCAGUUGACGAAUUUGUGUUUCGGUGGAGAAAAUCUCGACACCCUCUACGUCACAUCAGGUCGAAUCUUCGAAGAUGUAUCCCCGCCAACUGAGUACAGCGGUCGCGUUUUCGCUGUCAAUGGCGUGAUGAGUUCUGGUAAACCGAUUACUGGAUACCCGGGUCGCAAAAUUGUUGCUAUUUAAAUUCAUUUUUUUAGAAAAAUGUUUUAUAAUUUUACCACACAUAAGAUUUGUAUUUCACAAUAUCUGUAGGCCUAAUAGUUGUAAAAGUACCGUGUACGGGAUAUGUACUGUACCAUUGUCCAUUUUAUGGAAAAUAUAAAAUUAAUGAUGAAUUGAAUAAUUAUAUUUAUAAACUAUAAAACUUGAUACUUUCUAAUAAAGUAUUUUAAUAGAGUUAACUUGAAUUGUUUAAUCAUUACAGAAAUUACAAGUACCCUUUUUUGCAUGAACACAUCUAGUUUCGAGCACUCAUGCCAUUUUCAAAUGUCAAAACAAAAAUUUGUUUACUGAAAAAUAAUAAUUCAUUUUGACACCUGGAAAUGCCAUGAUUUAGACACAAAAGGAUUCUAGCAAUUUCUAUAACAAUUACAUUUAGUACUUAUUUCACUUUCUUUCACUGACGAGGAAUACGAAAUGCUUGCUGAAUCAUUGAAAUAUAUAAUAUAAAUUUGAUUUACAAGAAGGAUAUUAUGGAAAAACAAUUUGGUAGAGCUGGAAGUCUCAGUAAAAUAAAAAAAUCCAAGAGGAAAUAAGAUAUAAUCUGAUUCACAAGCUGUACAAAAGAAAAAAAUGAUACAUAACUUAGAUAAUAUCAUAAUAAUACUAUUAUGAGAUCAAAUAGCCCUACAAGAUGUCAUAUCUGAAUUUAAUGUUGAAUAACAUAAAAUAAAAUGUAAACUUCAAACCUAAAUUACUGAUGGAACCUUCAUUACAGCAGUGAAAAAAUUAUGUUAUUCAGAUGAUACAAAAGUAGGCCUAUAUAUCUAUUAAAGAAACAAACAAAAAGCUCAAAUCAAAACAAUGAUUUGUUUUUUUUUUUUUUAAUAAUAAUUAUAAUUGAUUUUUUUAUAGUCUUGAAAAACAAGUUUUCAAAAUUGUUGUGUUAUUUAUAAAAAGUUACACAGACUAUUUUGUUUUUUCAAUUGCAAUUUUUUUCUAAAUAAUGGCUGAACAUACUAACUUGAGUGAAACUUUGCACAAUAAUUUAUGACAAGUAGACAGAGCUACAAAAACUAAUUAUGACAAUUUUUCAAAUUCAUAAAACAAAAUGGUAUCCGUUUAAAUUUGUAUUUCUUGUAUAAU